rnacentral:tRNA from 1 species
GGGGAAUUAGCUCAAAUGGUAGAGCGCUCGCUUCGCAUGCGAGAGGUAGCGGGAUCGAUACCCGCAUUCUCCA